CAAGUCGAACGAGAAAGGGUAGCAAUACCUGAGUAAAGUGGCGCACGGGUGAGUAACACGUGACUAACCUACCCUGGAGUGGGGGAUAACUGAGGGAAACCUUAGCUAAUACCGCAUAACACCUACGGGUCAAAGGAGCAAUUCGCUUCAGGAGGGGGUCGCGGCCGAUUAGUUAGUUGGCGGGGUAAUGGCCCACCAAGACGAUGAUCGGUAUCCGGCCUGAGAGGGCGCACGGACACACUGGAACUGAAACACGGUCCAGACUCCUACGGGAGGCAGCAGUGGGGAAUUUUGCGCAAUGGGGGAAACCCUGACGCAGCAACGCCGCGUGGAGGAUGAAGUCCUUCGGGACGUAAACUCCUUUCGAUCGGGACGAUUAUGACGGUACCGAGAGAAGAAGCCCCGGCUAACUUCGUGCCAGCAGCCGCGGUAAUACGAGGGGGGCGAGCGUUGUUCGGAAUUAUUGGGCGUAAAGGGUGCGUAGGCGGUUUGGUAAGUCUUAUGUGAAAUCUACAGGCUCAACUUGUAGUCUGCAUGAGAAACUGCCGGGCUUGAGUAUGGGAGAGGUGAGUGGAAUUCCUGGUGUAGCGGUGAAAUGCGUAGAUAUCAGGAGGAACACCUGUGGCGAAAGCGGCUCACUGGACCAUAACUGACGCUGAUGCACGAAAGCUAGGGGAGCAAACAGGAUUAGAUACCCUGGUAGUCCUAGCCCUAAACGAUGACUGCUUGGUGUGACGGGUACCCAAUCCCGCCGUGCCGUAGCUAACGCGUUAAGCAGUCCGCCUGGGGAUACGGUCGCAAGGCUGAAACUCAAAGGAUUGACGGGGGCC
rnacentral:rRNA from 1 species